rnacentral:rRNA from 1 species
CCUACGGGUGGCAGCAGUGAGGAAUAUUGGUCAAUGGGAGAAAUCCUGAACCAGCCAAGCCGCGUGCGGGACGACGGCUCUAUGAGUUGUAAACUGCUUUUGUACCAGGACAAAAUGCCGUACGUGUCGCGGUCUGCAAGUAUGGGAAGAAAAAGGAUCGGCUAACUCCGUGCCAGCAGCCGCGGUAAUACGGAGGAUCCGAGCGUUAUCCGGAUUCAUUGGGUUUAAAGGGUGCGUAGGCGGACCGUUAAGUCAGCGGUAAAAUCGCGGGGCUCAACCCCGGCGAGCCGUUGAAACUGGCUGUCUUGAGUUGGCGAGAGGUACGCGGAAUGCGCGGUGUAGCGGUGAAAUGCUUGGAUAUUGCGCAGAACUCCGAUUGCGAAGGCAGCGUACCGGCGGCGGUCUGACGCUGAGGCACGAAAGCGUGGGUAUCGAACAGGAUUAGAUACCCGUGUAGUC